UACGUAGGGUGCGAGCGUUAAUCGGAAUUACUGGGCGUAAAGCGUGCGCAGGCGGUUCGUUGUGUCUGCUGUGAAAUCCCCGGGCUCAACCUGGGAAUGGCAGUGGAAACUGGCGAGCUUGAGUGUGGCAGAGGGGGGGUGGAAUUCCGCGUGUAGCAGUGAAAUGCGUAGAGAUGCGGAGGAACACCGAUGGCGAAGGCAAUCCCCUGGGCCUGCACUGACGCUCAUGCACGAAAGCGUGGGGAGCAAACAGG
rnacentral:rRNA from 1 species